rnacentral:lncRNA from 1 species
CUGACAUUUUUGUUGCUGUAUGUGUUUUUGCGCUUCUUUUUUUUUAAGUUAGUUUUUAGUUUGUUUGAGAGAUAUCUCUGUGCUCAUAGUCUUCCAAAGCUUGCCUAGAGUUAGUGUAGACACAAGAAAAAAAGGACUGUGGAUGCUGUGAUUCAUGUGAUGACGAUGGAUAUUGCCUCCUCACAAGAUUUCGUGAACUCAGUAAUGGCGGAAGAAAGCACGAGAAAGGUGACCCAGAGCGUAGUGAAAGAAAAUCAUCCGUCUGAGAGCCGAAAACGACAUUUCACAGUUGCCGAUGAUGUUACGGACAAUCUCAACAAGAAAAAGAAAGAUUGUUUACAAAAUAUCAAAAGAAUAAUUGACAGAUUAGAAGCAUCCGAUAAAGAACAGAAUGAUGUUGAUGGUGCUUUUAAUACUUUUGCCAAGUAUGUCUUGGAGGAUAUGCAUUCAUCGCUACCAACUAGAACUUUUAAAUAUGAUUCGAUGAGACAUAAGAAAGGUUGACGAAAAAAGGAAUGGUGGAACGAGCAUUUAGAUAACCUAUGGAAAGAUAUAUUGAAUCGGUUCACCAAAACGAAUGCCUGUGAAUGUCAGACCGACAAUAUCUCUGGUUCAACUACAUAAAAAAUGAGUCAGCUUGUACAUCGUACCACCUUUUUUGUAACAGAUACUUCGGUACAAAAUAAGAGGUAGAUCUUUCCACA